AGAACGAACGCUGGCGGCAUGCCUAACACAUGCAAGUCGAACGAGACCUUCGGGUCUAGUGGCGCACGGGUGCGUAACGCGUGGGAAUCUGCCCUUGGGUUCGGAAUAACAGCGAGAAAUUGCUGCUAAUACCGGAUGAUGACGUAAGUCCAAAGAUUUAUCGCCCUAAGGAUGAGCCCGCGUAGGAUUAGCCUUGUUGGUGAGGUAAGAGCUCACCUAAGGCGACGAUCCUUAGCUGGUCUGUAGAGGAUGAUCAGCCACACGUGGGACUGUAGACCACGGCCCACGACGUCCGUACGGGACGGCGAGCGAGUGGGGAAUA
rnacentral:rRNA from 1 species